rnacentral:rRNA from 1 species
CCCUUCGGGGUGUGACUGCGUACCUUUUGUAUAAUGGGUCAGCGACUUAUAUUCUGUAGCAAGGUUAACCGUAUAGGGGAGCCGGAGGGAAACCGAGUCUUAACCGGGCGUUAAGUUGCAGGGUAUAGACCCGAAACCCGGUGAUCUAGCCAUGGGCAGGUUGAAGGUUGGGUAACACUAACUGGAGGACCGAACCGACUAAUGUUGAAAAAUUAGCGGAUGACCUGUGGCUGGGGGUGAAAGGCCAAUCAAACCGGGAGAUAGCUGGUUCUCCCCGAAAGCUAUUUAGGUAGCGCCUCGUGAAUUCAUCUCCGGGGGUAGAGCACUGUUUCGGCUAGGGGGCCAUCCCGGCUUACCAACCCGAUGCAAACUGCGAAUACCGGAGAAUGUUAUCACGGGAGACACACGGCGGGUGCUAACGUCCGUCGUGAAGAGGGAAACAACCCAGACCGCCAGCUAAGGUCCCAAAGUCAUGGUUAAGUGGGAAACGAUGUGGGAAGGCCCAGACAGCCAGGAUGUUGGCUUAGAAGCAGCCAUCAUUUAAAGAAAGCGUAAUAGCUCACUGGUCGAGUCGGCCUGCGCGGAAGAUGUAACGGGGCUAAACCAUGCACCGAAGCUGCGGCAGCGAACGUAUCACCCAAGACAACUUUACGGAGUUGACGAUUGACGGAGCGAAGCGACGUCAAAGCGUUCAUUAAAGUCGAGUUGGCUUAGGGAUACGUUCGUUGGGUAGGGGAGCGUUCUGUAAGCCUGUGAAGGUGUGUCGUGAGGCAUGCUGGAGGUAUCAGAAGUGCGAAUGCUGACAUAAGUAACGAUAAAGCGGGUGAAAAGCCCGCUCGCCGGAAGACCAAGGGUUCCUGUCCAACGUUAAUCGGGGCAGGGUGAGUCGACCCCUAAGGCGAGGCCGAAAGGCGUAGUCGAUGGGAAACGGGUUAAUAUUCCCGUACUUGGUGUUACUGCGAAGGGGGGACGGAGAAGGCUAUGUUGGCCGGGCGACGGUUGUCCCGGUUUAAGCGUGUAGGUGUGUGUUCCAGGUAAAUCCGGUUCACUUUAACACUGAGGC